UUCGUGAGGGCAUCCCCAAAGAGCAGACCCAGUUCCUUGGAUGCCAAAUCUGCCAACUUGCUGUCCAGCUUGGACGGUGCCACUUUGCAGCGUUCAGGGGAUAAGGCCAAAUAGGUGUUUUCUUAUAAACAAACAUACGGACCAUUGGGCCCAUUCACGAAGGAGAGUUAGCAUCUGCCCUGAGGGACAUCUGUGUCAACGUGCACUUACAUCCAGCAGUUAGUCCUGGGCAGAGCGUAAAACCUGUUCCAGGUCUCUGCGGGGUCUUUUCUGAGCUUAUUCGUGAAAACUGGCCAUCUUGUCCAACUCGUAAGGCAGCUUCCUCUUCAUCUGUGGGAGCUUCAUGGCCCUUCCAAGGCCUAUUACGUGCAGAGUCCAUAUCCACAGAGCAGAGGGAAAUGCCAAGUCAGAGUCUCGAGCACCUGAGGUGCCGGCUGCAAAGUUCAGGGUGGUCGGUAGAGAAUCACCAUGUAGGGCAACGAGGGCUUCAGGCAAUGAGUCCACCAAGGUGGCACGAAGCCAGGCCUGGAGACUUUCCAGGCGCGGAAAUCUGCUCAGUCAGCCGUGACUGUAUCACUGCCAUAGGGGUAACACCAUCAGUGUUGCGGCCAGCUGAGGGUCACCCAGCGUGCAAGAGGGUUUCACCCAACAAGCAUAAG